AUUGAACGCUGGCGGCAGGCCUAACACAUGCAAGUCGAACGAGUGGCGGACGGGUGAGUAAUGUCUGGGAAACUGCCUGAUGGAGGGGGAUAACUACUGGAAACGGUAGCUAAUACCGCAUACCAUCGGAUGUGCCCAGAUGGGAUUAGCUAGUAGGUGGGGUAAAGGCUCACCAAGGCGACGAUCCCUAGCUGGUCUGAGAGGAGGACCGGCCACACGGGCACUGAGACACGGGCCAGCCUCCUACGGGAGGCAGCAGUGGGGAAUAGUGAACAAUGGGCGCAAGUCUGAUGCAGCCAUGCCGAGUGUAUGAAGAAGGCCUGCGGGUUGGAAAGCACUUUCAGCGGGGAGGCGUUACCCGCAGAAGAAGCACCGGCGAACUCCGUGCCAGCAGCCGCGGUAAUAC
rnacentral:rRNA from 1 species